rnacentral:rRNA from 1 species
CGUGUAGGCGGCUUUGCAAGUCGGGUGUGAAAUCCCUCGGCUUAACCGAGGAAGUGCGCCCGAAACUGCAGAGCUUGAGUACCGGAGAGGGUGGCGGAAUUCCCCAAGUAGAGGUGAAAUUCGUAGAUAUGGGGAGGAACACCGGUGGCGAAGGCGGCCACCUGGACGGAUACUGACGCUGAGACGCGAAAGCGUGGGGAGCAAACA